UGAACCAGUGAGGUGCUGGUUGAAGCUUGAGAAGGUCUUCGAGCUUUGUUGAGCUGAAUUUGUACUCUUAGAAGCUGAUUUGGAAGCUGCUCUAAUCAAGGCGAGAGGGUGUUUGACCCUUGGACCGCCUUCGUUUGGCCUUGGAGGGCCUUCUGGAAGCUUAACGUGAGGAUUGAGACCUAGUGGAGCUGAUCCUUGGGACUCCUUUGGACUAAUUG